rnacentral:misc_RNA from 1 species
UACGUAGGUGGCAAGCGUUGUCCGGAAUCAUUGGGCGUAAAGCGCACGUAGGGGGUCCGAUAAGUCGGAUGUGAAAGCCCUCGGCUUAACCGAGGAAGUGCAUUCGAAACUGUCGGACUUGAGUACGGGAGAGGGUCGCGGAAUUCCCGGUGUAGAGGUGAAAUUCGUAGAUAUCGGGAGGAACACCAGUGGCGAAGGCGGCGACCUGGACCGAUACUGACGCUGAGGUGCGAAAGCGUGGGGAGCAAACAGG